GUGUCAGCCGCCGCGGUAAGACGUAGGGGACGAGCGUUGUCCGGAUUCAUUGGGCGUAAAGAGCGCGUAGGCGGCUGCGCAAGUCGGUUGUGAAAGUCCGGGGCUCAACCCCGGAACUGCGUCCGAUACUGCGUGGCUAGAGGUAGGUAGGGGAGAUCGGAAUUCCUGGUGUAGCGGUGAAAUGCGCAGAUAUCAGGAGGAACACCGGUGGCGAAGGCGGAUCUCUGGGCCUUACCUGACGCUGAGGCGCGAAAGCUAGGGGAGCGAACAGGAUUAGAAACCCCCGUAGUCC
rnacentral:rRNA from 1 species